GAGUAACUAUUUAAGGAAUACAAUUCCCUUGUAUCUUGCCAAGAACUUUGUUAGUCACAUAGUUCGAUCAAUGAAUUUGACUUCAAGUAAGUACUAGAGCUUUAACUCAUUUGGAUGACAUAUACCAUCUUGGGAAGAUGACGAUUGGAUUGUCAGGGCUAAGGAUUGCUUAGGAAUUUUUAUUUUUUUAUUUUUUAUUUAUUUUUUUAUAGUCUGAAAGGCUUGCUUAGAAUUAAGAAUUCUAAAGUGAGGUUCUAGCCAUGGGAAGUUGGGAACUUUGACAUUUCAAAGAGGGUAUGUGCCAAGAAGUGCUUUUCCUAAAGAGGCUAUUGACGUUAUAAGGCACAAGUGAAGAUAGAUAAAGAGAGAUUCCGAGUCUUUAUAUUUAGUAUUCG
rnacentral:lncRNA from 1 species